GAGACAAGGAAUGUGGCAGGGAAGGAGGAGACUUGUAGAAAGAGGGCAAGUAAUGAGGGGCAGGCAGUGCUGGAGAGUUAAGAGGCAAGGGACAGGGAGGGUGGCACUUUCUUUCUGACACACACCCAUACUCCUGGACAGCUGAGCUGAUAUGGCCCCUAAAAAUAGCAGAGGAAUUUGAGACCUGUAUCCCCUCGCACCACAGGCCAAGAUCAAACCAAACACACGCACAUGCCAGCAAGCAUGCAUGAACGUUCAAUCACAGCAGAGUGUUCUUCAGAACACACAAAUCAUAGGCUACCACUGCCUUCUAAUCACACUGCAGCAGAGGCCAAGACUAACGUCAUAACCGAUACAACACACAGCAGCCUCUGAGGUCCAACAGGAGCAGAGACCACAAGAUCGGCCUGGAGCCCACUGUCACCACCUUACUUAAUAAAUCUGCGGGGACAUGCAGAGAAUCGAUUUUUCUCUGUCUAAACCCCUCGCCCACACAUAGCAGCCAGAGGCUGCGCAGGCACAGAGGAAGGUGGGGUGGGUGGGGCGGGGUAGGUGGGACUUAAGCCUUGUAGACAGAGGAAACUGUGGGUGUCUGACAAUAAGUGACAGUUUGGAGUGAAGAACCAGUGCUCCUCAAGAGAAAUCUGGCCUGGCCCCCCUUUAGCACCACCGGGGACCUGGAUCAGGUCUGAGGUCCUGAGGGGUGUGGGGCUGGAAGGAGACUUGGGAGCAGGAUGGAACAUACAGGAUCUACAAGUCUCAGAAGUUGUCAGUUCUGCAGAAAAAAAAAGGUGGGGGGAGAUAAUUAUUGCCUCCCUUCUCCUCUUCAGGGGAAAAAACUAAGGAAGAAAAAGGUCGGGCGUUAAGGCAGAGCUACUCCUAACCUUGCAAUGAGUAUUACUUUCUUUAGGCAUGAAAGGUUUUGGCCCAGGCAGGACACUGUAGCCAGGAAAGCCACAACCGGAAGCAGGAAGCCCCAUCUUGCCCUGCCCCUAGGAAGUUACCUGUGAUGCCAUCUUCCCGCCCCUGGGAAUUUACAUAUGGCACCAAACCUAGGACCAAUGGGCUACCUAUGUAUCCCUAAUGCCCGCCUUAGGUUCCACCCCAAACCGAGGUUAUUUACAGGCCCCCACGCCGCGUGUCCGCCGGAAAGAUCGCCGGACGCCAGCGGUGGGGGUUGCCGGUCAUCUCUCUCCGUGUUCUCAGAAUAAAGGCCGCUUUUUAUUUUAUAUUUCUCAUCUUUUGUUAAUAUUUUUCAUCUUUUGGAAAUAACUCUAUCAUUUGGUGCCGUGACUCUAUCGGCAGGCAACUGACUGUUGGGCCACAUACCCAAAGUCUUCUAGCCGAUAACCAGAUAACAUCCUGGAUUAAUCCCGAGCUUUUUCCUCUCCCGAGACGUUCCUGUCGCCAGCCGCCUGCACUCCGCAUCGGCCAGACUGAUUUCAGUCUGACAUACGUGCAUUCACUAGUGAAGCUGUCCUGGCCAGAACACCUGGUACCAGCGUCUACCUGGGCAUCAACCUUCAUCCCGUCGACUCCCCUAGGCUCCAGUACAGCGCCCUUUGCCAGCAGGAAGUAGUUAAAGAGAGAAAUCUUUGCCCCUUUUCAUAAUAAUAACCAUAAGACGGGAUAUGAAAGGUUUUGGCCCAGGCAGGACACUGUAGCCAGGAAAGCCACAACCGGAAGCAGGAAGCCCCAUCUUGCCCUGCCCCUAGGAAGUUACCUGUGACGCCAUCUUCCCGCCCCUGGGAAUUUACAUAUGGCACCAAACCUAGGACCAAUGGGCUACCUAUGUAUCCCUAAUGCCCGCCUUAGGUUCCACCCCAAACCGAGGUUAUUUACAGGCCCCCACGCCGCGUGUCCGCCGGAGAGAUCGCCGGACGCCAGCGGUGGGGUUGCCGGUCAUCUCUCUCCGUGUUCUCAGAAUAAAGGCCGCUUUUUAUUUUA